UACGUAGGAGGCAAGCGUUGUCCGGAAUCACUGGGCGUAAAGGGUGCGUAGGCGGCGCGGUAAGUCGGGUGUGAAAUCUCGGAGCUUAACUCCGAAACUGCAUUCGAUACUGCCGUGCUUGAGGACUGGAGAGGAGACUGGAAUUUACGGUGUAGCGGUGAAAUGCGUAGAUAUCGUAAGGAAGACCAGUGGCGAAGGCGGGUCUCUGGACAGUUCCUGACGCUGAGGCACGAAGGCCAGGGGAGCAAACGGG
rnacentral:rRNA from 1 species